AAGUCGUAACAAGGUCUCCGUAGGUGAACCUGCGGAGGGAUCAUUACUGAAUGGCUCCGGCCUUCAACCUUCAAACCUGGAGCAACCAACGUUCGGUCGGUUCGGCCCCGCACUUAUGCAGCAAAGCGUUUUGUCUGAAUCAAAAGCAAGAAUUAAAA
rnacentral:misc_RNA from 1 species